GUGGUGCUGCUGGAGAUGCUCGCGCAGAAGGAGCCCGCCGGCGACGACGACCGCGCGCCCAGCUCCCGCGACAUCUUCCUGCCGGCGUCGUUCAAGAACCUGGUGCUCGAGAGGAAGAUCUCCGACGCCUUCAGCUCCGACCUCGUCAGGCAGAGCAGGAAGUCGGGGAACGAGAAGAAGCUGAACGCGUUCUUCGAGCUGGCCACGGCGUGCUGCAGCCCUUCGCCGUCGCUCCGGCCCAACACCAAGGAGAUACUCAGAAGGCUUGAGGAGAUAGCAAAAUAAUUAACUAAAUGUGGGUAGGUUCACCAUUCAGACGUAGCACGAGGCAAGGCUCAAGGAACGACUGAACCUCUGCUGGACGGAAAAUUGGAGAAUGGAGGCACACGGUUCAGAUAUCAUGGAAUGUGUAUAGUCAGAGUGUAAGCGCGGUGGAGGCCAUCGUCUCAAGAAUAUACUCAUUGUACGUAAUUUAUUUUCUUGUGCUUUGCUUGAAACCGACCAUGUACAAAGUGUUGAAAGAGUGGGGACGGCGUAUGCUGCAUGUUCAUGCAUCAAAAUCGCCAUGUCGAUGUAACCUUGGUCUGAUCUGAGUGUUAUAUCAGAUAUGAUUGGUAGGAGCAUUUGCUGUGCAGCUUGUGAUGUUCCCGGUGCAUGUGCGGUUGUUCUACUUGUACGCACUGACAAGGGCCGGCAGGGAGUGAUUCUCUCCAAGGGAAUUAUGCCCAGCGUUGCCUGAUUUCGGUCUCUGCACAGUCAUGCUGUCCUUAACAGUGGCUAGAUUCCGAAAUAGUAAGAAAUUAAGAUUCGGAACUUUUGGUUGUAGCUAGAUUGCUCAGCGGCAUGGCCUCAAAAACAGGUCACCAUCCACCACCUUCUCUUUCGCCGACACCAAAAGCGUAGCGUCCGUAACACACGGGCCUACAGUCUGCUGAUUUAUUUCGUAACCUGCAAAUGAAUCGCCUAUUCACUAUCCCACGUCAACAAAUGAUCAUCCUGUGCUAGCUUAAGCUUACCAAACGAUCUUCGGCUUGACGCCAGAAAAACUUACUGAUCAUCUCGAGUCUCCUUGUCCCUGAAUUAUCGUAAUGAGACGGAACAUGAAAGGCAUGUGUCAUGGCCUCCGCUGGCCGAGUGAUUAUCAGGUGGGUGAGGCCUUGGUUUGUGCCACCGGUUAGCCGCGGCGUCUCUCUCGCAGCGCAGGGAAAGCGGCAGCACGUGAAGCGCCAACGAACCCACCGAGAAAACUUGGAGCAAGCCUCCAAGCCUCCAAGCCGGGACCGCCUCUCGUCGUCCUCCAACUCCGCGGCCCCCUAAUGGUAGAUCUUGUGGGCACGUACAUACGUCCGUAGGCCGUAGCGUAGAUCAAAUGCCCCUGCGCGCGCUCAGGCCGGCCGGCCGGUCCGGUCCGGUGCACGGACGCCUGCGCUCGCCGUGCCGUAUCAUCAAUUUGCUAAUGCACAUGUCCCUUGGUCACAAAUCUUACGAUGUGUACUGUCGACGCGUUUUUACUGCCUCUGGCCCGUUGCCGACGCCGACGCCGAUGCCAUGGCCGUGCGCCGUGGUCCUCGCCCGUCCAUUCGCGGCUACUACAGUUGUGCGCGCCGUCCGUCGUGUAGCGUCUUGUGGGCAUGCGGCGUGCACCGUGUUUAACUUGGUAAGCUAAGCCGCACACGGCGAAGUGUUCGGGUCGGUGGGAGGCGGGUCACCGUACCUACCUAUGCGUCGACAUGUACCCGGUGUACGUACGUGCCGGGCCGCGACGGCGAUGGCUGGGGAGAGGAGAUGGUGGUGGAUUGGUGGUGGCGGUGGUUGCGCGUGGCUGGCGCGGCGGAGUAGGAGUGGUAGGGCGUCGGGGCGGUACCACGCGGAUUGGGUGCGCGUGCACGGCGCCGAGCGCAGGGGGCUGCGUGGCCGGAUGAUAGAUGCGUCGCACGCAGGCGCAGGCAUGUGGGCGUCAUGUGGUAGGGAGUUGGCUGUGGGUGCUACUACUGGGUGAGAUAAGGCUCUGAUAAGAUGUGAUUUGGCUACUGCCGCUCGCGAUUCGCUGCUGCGCUGUCUACUCAUUGCGAGAGUUGGUGCUUGUCACUGAAUGUGAAUGGUACCGUACCGGAGUUAAAUCAAGUGAAAGCAGCAAGUACCACUGCCGGUGCCGGGGUUUAUUUAUGUUGGGUUGCACUGCGGCGCUGCAAUCAUCGCUCUUCCGUGCGGCUUCAUUCGUUCCUUUGCUGGGGCCGGGGGAAACGGGUUGGCCUUGGCCGUCGCCGGCCGAAUGCAAUAUGGCAUCGCGACCCAAAGCUUUUGCUGCGGUAUUGCCGACUUGCAAGUUAAGUUUUUUUUUUUAAUGAACGAGCAAGCUCGGUUGAGAUCCUUGCCUUUUCAACCUUGAACAGCGGUAUUUGUUUUGAUAGAGUAUUUUUCAUUAAUUCAUAUUGAAACACAAGCAGAUGUACAAAAUACAACGAGCACACAGCCAGCCACUACACGACUAGGAUGCACACAACCAAUACACACACAAAGAUAUUCAUCACAAGAUCAAAACUAUGCCUAGGUCAAAUGGAAAAGAAAGAGAAAAGAAAAGGAGAAAGGACUUCGCCGAAGCAGUAGAAACAACCAUUGAUGUGGCAUGCCCUACUGCAAACAUGACUAGUACACAAGUCAUGGUGAGUACGUCGGUCAAUGACAAGCGGUUGCAGGCAACUUCGGCAGUCGUCGACAAAGGGGUGCGAACGGAGGAUAUUACGAAUGAGGCAGCGACAAUGCAUGUGGACGAGGCGGAUGUCGGAAAGAAAGUUGUUGAUGUGAGUUGUAAUUAUGUAAGGACAUGAGGAUUAUAUUGUAAAAGAACAAAAAUCUAAAUGAAGGGAGGUGAGAAGGGGAUCGGUAGAAGACCCCAGAUUUUUCCCCAAUGUCUCCUCUCCUUCAUGAACCCUAGUUCACAAAUCCAUGAGUGACAAGAUGGUAUCAGGGCGGGACGAAUCCUGUGUGGUUCUCCUGUGAUUUCGAUUGAUUUUGGUCGUCGGUGCGGUGCGGUGCUGUGUCGCUCCUAUUGUUGGAGGUGCUUCUGCUGCUGGCUUUGUUGUAGGUGUCGGGAAGCGACCUCGAUUCUGCCUGAAUCAAGUACAACCGGGGAGGCUCCUGCAGCUACCAGUUGAAUUGAAUAGAGCCUGGGCGUCUAGACUCCCUCCCCCGCUACAAGCUAAUUUUUUCUCUCCUGCCAUCCGGCGCCGUGAGCAGGUCUAGUUCGUCCCCAACUUGACUCUCGGACUCCUUGAGCUUCUGUGUUUUUUAUUGCUUUAGAAGAAGAAUCAGUGUUGCCUGGAGCUGCUUUGGUGGUCAGCUGGCCGGAUUAAAUAAUACUAUUUGCUAGUGUUGCAAUCCGAAGUAAUUGCCGUACUCUUUGGCACAUUGUUGAGCCGUACUAGUUGGUUCCUCUUUGUGCUGCACGUAUUUGAUAAGAAGAACCAAGUACUAGUGUUGGAAUAUAUUCUUGCUCACUGAACCAUGGGAGAUCCAAGUACAGAAAAACAGGGGAUUCUAGUGUUGAUAAGAUGUAUGAAAUAUUUAGCAAACUGCUUAAGCACCAGCAGGCUGCUGAGCCAGUUAAGCAUACACUUGAGCCAAAUCCAGUCAAACUAUCAGGACCUGGUGACUACAUCAGUUGGGCACGCCAUGCCAAAUUGAUUUUGAGCGCCAAUGAGUAUGAUUAUUUACUUGUUGGGAGUGAAGAAAGUUUGGAGAAAGGCGGUGCGGGCAGGAAACAAAUCAAUGAUAAAGUACUAGUAUGGCUGUUGGAAAGUAUGGAACCAAAAAUAAGAGAACAAGUGGAAGGCAUGGACACUGUUUGUGAGGUCCGGUCAUCUUUGAAGAAACAAUUUGCAGGGAAAACAAAUAAAAUGCAAGCCACCCAUAUCAUGCAUGAGUUAACUAAUUUGAAGCAGCGCUCAAGAUCUGUAACAGAGUAUCCAGGUGAAGUAAAAAAAUUAUAUAGAAACUUACAUUAUCAUCACCCUUUUGAACCUGUUGACAAGGAUGACUUGGCAAUUCAUCAUGUGUGGUUUGAGUCGUUUGUGAGCAAGCUCUUUCUUGAUGGCCUAGACCAGGAACUAAACCUCCGUCGUCAAUUGAUAUUUGGAAUGCCUGAGUGGCCUAGUCUUGAUGAUAUUAUUUCUAGCAUGAUUGAGGAGGAGACUCGUUUGGCACAACCGAAGGAGGAUGGUCAGGAGCGUGCAGAUGCUCGUGCUGCAUUAUCCAUACAACCUCGCCGUGCUACAAAUUCCUUUGGUAAGGUGGAUAAAAGCAAAUUGCUUUGUGACCAUUGCAAGAGAAAAGGACACACCAAGGAUGAGUGUUUUGAGUUGCAUGGUUAUCCACCUUGGUGGGAUAAAGGGAGAUCUCAGCUAGGGGGAGCUCGGGGUUCAAACAAAAGACAAGCUAAUUACAAUGCAUCUGCAAGGGAACUACAUGUGGUAGAUAUGCAAGCUCUUGAGGAUUUCAAAUCCAAGCUCAAAUUCUCUGAAGGCUCAUCUUCGUCCCAAGGUUCCUCCAAAGUUGAUUCUAGCUUUAAUGCCAUCACCCAAGGUAUGGAAUCCCACCAAGCCCAGUCAAAACCAUGGAUAAUUGAUACUGGAGCUACUAACCACAUGACAGGUGCCUCAAACUUGUUUACUUCAGGCACCUUCCAGUCCAGGCCAGCCAGGGUCCCGGCGACCCUCCUACUCCUACUCCUACCCCUCCCAACUGCCGCUGCCACUGUGCUCACCGAUUCUCAACGGAGGAAAUGGCCAUGCACAGCACACCACACCGCAGUGCACCUACCUAGGGUCGGUCCUCUACCUACCAACCCCCCCACUUUAACGCUAAUCUCCAACAGAAAAAAGGCCAANNNNNNNNNNNNNNNNNNNNNNNNNNNNNNNNNNNNNNNNNNNNNNNNNNNNNNNNNNNNNNNNNNNNNNNNNNNNNNNNNNNNNNNNNNNNNNNNNNNNCGAUUCUCAACGGAGGAAAUGGCCAUGCACAGCACACCACACCGCAGUGCACCUACCUAGGGUCGGUCCUCUACCUACCAACCCCCCCACUUUAACGCUAAUCUCCAACAGAAAAAAGGCCAAAGGCGACGGAGGCUGGACUCACUGGACUGGAAGCCACCCGGCCGGCCUCCUCCUCCUCCUCCUCAGUAGCCCUCACUCUCCCACACUGCUCACUGGUUGGUCGACGAUGAUAAAAACCUCCACACGAUAGGAAUCUCAAGCCAUCCUCCUCCUCCUCCUCCUCCCGGCAGUUUCCUCCACGGCUCCACCACCCCGAGCCCAAGCCAACCGAGCAAAGCGCACGCCAAAGCGAGGGGCUUUGCCUCGAAUCCUGGGCGAGCCGAGCCACGAGCCCCACCACCACUGCUUUCGCCUUUCCGUUCAUUCCAAGAACCGGCGUACGUACAUGGAGCCGGCGGCGGCGGACGGGGCCUCGGACGAGCCGGUGCACAAGGGGCGGACCAACUCCAUCCUGCUCCCCAUCCUCGCCGUGCUCCUCGCCUACCUGCUCUACCGCUACCUCCGCCCGCGCCUCCGCGGCCUGCGCCUCGACCGCCUCCCGUUCCGCGUCCCGGACUGCCUCCGCCGCCGCGGCAAUGCCACCCGGACCACCCUGCUGCCCUACUUCGCGCCCAUCGCCGACCGCCUCGGCGCGCUGCAGCCCUACCUCGGCCCCAUCGCCGACCGCCUCGGGGUCGGCGGCCCGCACGGCCACGGCGGCGGGUACGGCGGCGCCGACGCGCUCGUCAGGUUCCCCGGCGGCGAGGGCCUGUCGGUGGCCGCCAUCCUCGAGGCGCCUGGGGAGGUGGUGGCCAAGUCGUCGCACAGCACGCUCUACCGCGCCGCCAUGCGCUCCGGGGAGACGGCCGUGCUGCUCCGGUUCGUGCGGCCCGCGUGCGCCGUGGGCGCCGACGAGGCCGCCGCCGCCGCGCGCCGGAUCGGCGCCGUCAGCCACCCGAACCUCGUGCCGCUCCGCGCCGUGUACGUCGGGCCCAGGGGCGAGAAGCUGCUCGUGCACCCUUCUACGCCGCCGGCUCGCUCCACCGAUUCUUGCAAGGUCAGUGCAUGCGCAUCACUCACUCUUGCUUUGGUCGACAUGUUCAUCCUGAUUCGUACAAAUGCACAAUUUUGCUACGUCAAAAGUGCACAUGAGCCCACACCGCAAAUGAAACUUUUUCUUAAUUCUAUUUGUUGCGACGAGAUCACACAUGAAACAUUAUGCAAUUACAUUUCGUCACAAAGGGAAAAGCAUGGCGUGGUUGCGAAGCGAGUUCGAAGACUCCAAAAAGGCAGAUCAGCAGCUUUCACUAAACAAAAAUCAUUUGGGCCAUCAGUUUCAACUUUCUUUUUCGAUAAUCAGUAUCAACUUUUGAGGCAAUGUGGAAUGUGUUACACAGUUUGGUUAUGGUACAGAGUCCAUUUCUUAUUUCCAGUUCAUGUUCGCUGGUUCUUAUUAUUAUUGCCUACUGCGGCCAGGCAGGAAACAUUUCUCUGCUUUGGUUGUUAGCCUGAGACCUCACAUGACACUGUCCUGAAGCAAUGGUCCUGGCCAUUAAUGUUACAUAAGGUCAUUAGAUCACCCUUCACAAUCGUGAUCAUUGGGGCACACAAUCAGUCCAGUGUGUUGCUCAGUUAAAACAGUGGUUAGUGCUGUAUAGUCGUCUGUCAAACAGUAGUGAACAUAGUCAUUGUUGUGCCUUAAUUGAAGGCACAUGCACACAUGUGCAGUCUUUUCAAGCCAAAACCAUGCAUUCAUAAUAUUGGCAUUUGUUGUGAUGGUAGCUGAUGAUAGUCUGCCUGUGUGCUGCCAUUUUCACAGAGGGGAUCGCCGACUCGCAGAGAUGGAGCCUGAUCUGCAAGCUCUCCGUGUGCAUCGCCAAGGGGCUCGACCACCUGCACACGGGGAUGGAGAAGCCGAUCAUCCACGGCAACCUCAAGACGAGCAACAUCCUCCUCGACGCCAGCUACGAGUGCAGGAUCUCGGACUACGGCCUCUACCUCCUGCUCAACACCGGCGGCGCCCACGAGAUGCUGGAGGCGUCGGCGGCGCAGGGGUACAAGGCGCCGGAGCUGGUCAAGAUGAGGGACGCCACCAGGGAGAGCGACGUGUACAGCCUGGGCGUGGUGCUGCUGGAGAUGCUCGCGCAGAAGGAGCCCGCCGGCGACGACGACCGCGCGCCCAGCUCCCGCGACAUCUUCCUGCCGGCGUCGUUCAAGAACCUGGUGCUCGAGAGGAAGAUCUCCGACGCCUUCAGCUCCGACCUCGUCAGGCAGAGCAGGAAGUCGGGGAACGAGAAGAAGCUGAACGCGUUCUUCGAGCUGGCCACGGCGUGCUGCAGCCCUUCGCCGUCGCUCCGGCCCAACACCAAGGAGAUACUCAGAAGGCUUGAGGAGAUAGCAAAAUAAUUAACUAAAUGUGGGUAGGUUCACCAUUCAGACGUAGCACGAGGCAAGGCUCAAGGAACGACUGAACCUCUGCUGGACGGAAAAUUGGAGAAUGGAGGCACACGGUUCAGAUAUCAUGGAAUGUGUAUAGUCAGAGUGUAAGCGCGGUGGAGGCCAUCGUCUCAAGAAUAUACUCAUUGUACGUAAUUUAUUUUCUUGUGCUUUGCUUGAAACCGACCAUGUACAAAGUGUUGAAAGAGUGGGGACGGCGUAUGCUGCAUGUUCAUGCAUCAAAAUCGCCAUGUCGAUGUAACCUUGGUCUGAUCUGAGUGUUAUAUCAGAUAUGAUUGGUAGGAGCAUUUGCUGUGCAGCUUGUGAUGUUCCCGGUGCAUGUGCGGUUGUUCUACUUGUACGCACUGACAAGGGCCGGCAGGGAGUGAUUCUCUCCAAGGGAAUUAUGCCCAGCGUUGCCUGAUUUCGGUCUCUGCACAGUCAUGCUGUCCUUAACAGUGGCUAGAUUCCGAAAUAGUAAGAAAUUAAGAUUCGGAACUUUUGGUUGUAGCUAGAUUGCUCAGCGGCAUGGCCUCAAAAACAGGUCACCAUCCACCACCUUCUCUUUCGCCGACACCAAAAGCGUAGCGUCCGUAACACACGGGCCUACAGUCUGCUGAUUUAUUUCGUAACCUGCAAAUGAAUCGCCUAUUCACUAUCCCACGUCAACAAAUGAUCAUCCUGUGCUAGCUUAAGCUUACCAAACGAUCUUCGGCUUGACGCCAGAAAAACUUACUGAUCAUCUCGAGUCUCCUUGUCCCUGAAUUAUCGUAAUGAGACGGAACAUGAAAGGCAUGUGUCAUGGCCUCCGCUGGCCGAGUGAUUAUCAGGUGGGUGAGGCCUUGGUUUGUGCCACCGGUUAGCCGCGGCGUCUCUCUCGCAGCGCAGGGAAAGCGGCAGCACGUGAAGCGCCAACGAACCCACCGAGAAAACUUGGAGCAAGCCUCCAAGCCUCCAAGCCGGGACCGCCUCUCGUCGUCCUCCAACUCCGCGGCCCCCUAAUGGUAGAUCUUGUGGGCACGUACAUACGUCCGUAGGCCGUAGCGUAGAUCAAAUGCCCCUGCGCGCGCUCAGGCCGGCCGGCCGGUCCGGUCCGGUGCACGGACGCCUGCGCUCGCCGUGCCGUAUCAUCAAUUUGCUAAUGCACAUGUCCCUUGGUCACAAAUCUUACGAUGUGUACUGUCGACGCGUUUUUACUGCCUCUGGCCCGUUGCCGACGCCGACGCCGAUGCCAUGGCCGUGCGCCGUGGUCCUCGCCCGUCCAUUCGCGGCUACUACAGUUGUGCGCGCCGUCCGUCGUGUAGCGUCUUGUGGGCAUGCGGCGUGCACCGUGUUUAACUUGGUAAGCUAAGCCGCACACGGCGAAGUGUUCGGGUCGGUGGGAGGCGGGUCACCGUACCUACCUAUGCGUCGACAUGUACCCGGUGUACGUACGUGCCGGGCCGCGACGGCGAUGGCUGGGGAGAGGAGAUGGUGGUGGAUUGGUGGUGGCGGUGGUUGCGCGUGGCUGGCGCGGCGGAGUAGGAGUGGUAGGGCGUCGGGGCGGUACCACGCGGAUUGGGUGCGCGUGCACGGCGCCGAGCGCAGGGGGCUGCGUGGCCGGAUGAUAGAUGCGUCGCACGCAGGCGCAGGCAUGUGGGCGUCAUGUGGUAGGGAGUUGGCUGUGGGUGCUACUACUGGGUGAGAUAAGGCUCUGAUAAGAUGUGAUUUGGCUACUGCCGCUCGCGAUUCGCUGCUGCGCUGUCUACUCAUUGCGAGAGUUGGUGCUUGUCACUGAAUGUGAAUGGUACCGUACCGGAGUUAAAUCAAGUGAAAGCAGCAAGUACCACUGCCGGUGCCGGGGUUUAUUUAUGUUGGGUUGCACUGCGGCGCUGCAAUCAUCGCUCUUCCGUGCGGCUUCAUUCGUUCCUUUGCUGGGGCCGGGGGAAACGGGUUGGCCUUGGCCGUCGCCGGCCGAAUGCAAUAUGGCAUCGCGACCCAAAGCUUUUGCUGCGGUAUUGCCGACUUGCAAGUUAAGUUUUUUUUUUUAAUGAACGAGCAAGCUCGGUUGAGAUCCUUGCCUUUUCAACCUUGAACAGCGGUAUUUGUUUUGAUAGAGUAUUUUUCAUUAAUUCAUAUUGAAACACAAGCAGAUGUACAAAAUACAACGAGCACACAGCCAGCCACUACACGACUAGGAUGCACACAACCAAUACACACACAAAGAUAUUCAUCACAAGAUCAAAACUAUGCCUAGGUCAAAUGGAAAAGAAAGAGAAAAGAAAAGGAGAAAGGACUUCGCCGAAGCAGUAGAAACAACCAUUGAUGUGGCAUGCCCUACUGCAAACAUGACUAGUACACAAGUCAUGGUGAGUACGUCGGUCAAUGACAAGCGGUUGCAGGCAACUUCGGCAGUCGUCGACAAAGGGGUGCGAACGGAGGAUAUUACGAAUGAGGCAGCGACAAUGCAUGUGGACGAGGCGGAUGUCGGAAAGAAAGUUGUUGAUGUGAGUUGUAAUUAUGUAAGGACAUGAGGAUUAUAUUGUAAAAGAACAAAAAUCUAAAUGAAGGGAGGUGAGAAGGGGAUCGGUAGAAGACCCCAGAUUUUUCCCCAAUGUCUCCUCUCCUUCAUGAACCCUAGUUCACAAAUCCAUGAGUGACAAGAUGGUAUCAGGGCGGGACGAAUCCUGUGUGGUUCUCCUGUGAUUUCGAUUGAUUUUGGUCGUCGGUGCGGUGCGGUGCUGUGUCGCUCCUAUUGUUGGAGGUGCUUCUGCUGCUGGCUUUGUUGUAGGUGUCGGGAAGCGACCUCGAUUCUGCCUGAAUCAAGUACAACCGGGGAGGCUCCUGCAGCUACCAGUUGAAUUGAAUAGAGCCUGGGCGUCUAGACUCCCUCCCCCGCUACAAGCUAAUUUUUUCUCUCCUGCCAUCCGGCGCCGUGAGCAGGUCUAGUUCGUCCCCAACUUGACUCUCGGACUCCUUGAGCUUCUGUGUUUUUUAUUGCUUUAGAAGAAGAAUCAGUGUUGCCUGGAGCUGCUUUGGUGGUCAGCUGGCCGGAUUAAAUAAUACUAUUUGCUAGUGUUGCAAUCCGAAGUAAUUGCCGUACUCUUUGGCACAUUGUUGAGCCGUACUAGUUGGUUCCUCUUUGUGCUGCACGUAUUUGAUAAGAAGAACCAAGUACUAGUGUUGGAAUAUAUUCUUGCUCACUGAACCAUGGGAGAUCCAAGUACAGAAAAACAGGGGAUUCUAGUGUUGAUAAGAUGUAUGAAAUAUUUAGCAAACUGCUUAAGCACCAGCAGGCUGCUGAGCCAGUUAAGCAUACACUUGAGCCAAAUCCAGUCAAACUAUCAGGACCUGGUGACUACAUCAGUUGGGCACGCCAUGCCAAAUUGAUUUUGAGCGCCAAUGAGUAUGAUUAUUUACUUGUUGGGAGUGAAGAAAGUUUGGAGAAAGGCGGUGCGGGCAGGAAACAAAUCAAUGAUAAAGUACUAGUAUGGCUGUUGGAAAGUAUGGAACCAAAAAUAAGAGAACAAGUGGAAGGCAUGGACACUGUUUGUGAGGUCCGGUCAUCUUUGAAGAAACAAUUUGCAGGGAAAACAAAUAAAAUGCAAGCCACCCAUAUCAUGCAUGAGUUAACUAAUUUGAAGCAGCGCUCAAGAUCUGUAACAGAGUAUCCAGGUGAAGUAAAAAAAUUAUAUAGAAACUUACAUUAUCAUCACCCUUUUGAACCUGUUGACAAGGAUGACUUGGCAAUUCAUCAUGUGUGGUUUGAGUCGUUUGUGAGCAAGCUCUUUCUUGAUGGCCUAGACCAGGAACUAAACCUCCGUCGUCAAUUGAUAUUUGGAAUGCCUGAGUGGCCUAGUCUUGAUGAUAUUAUUUCUAGCAUGAUUGAGGAGGAGACUCGUUUGGCACAACCGAAGGAGGAUGGUCAGGAGCGUGCAGAUGCUCGUGCUGCAUUAUCCAUACAACCUCGCCGUGCUACAAAUUCCUUUGGUAAGGUGGAUAAAAGCAAAUUGCUUUGUGACCAUUGCAAGAGAAAAGGACACACCAAGGAUGAGUGUUUUGAGUUGCAUGGUUAUCCACCUUGGUGGGAUAAAGGGAGAUCUCAGCUAGGGGGAGCUCGGGGUUCAAACAAAAGACAAGCUAAUUACAAUGCAUCUGCAAGGGAACUACAUGUGGUAGAUAUGCAAGCUCUUGAGGAUUUCAAAUCCAAGCUCAAAUUCUCUGAAGGCUCAUCUUCGUCCCAAGGUUCCUCCAAAGUUGAUUCUAGCUUUAAUGCCAUCACCCAAGGUAUGGAAUCCCACCAAGCCCAGUCAAAACCAUGGAUAAUUGAUACUGGAGCUACUAACCACAUGACAGGUGCCUCAAACUUGUUUACUUCCUACACACCUACCUCUGGUAAGGACAAAGUUCGUGUUGCUGAUGGUUCCAUGGCACCUAUUACAGGACGUGGAACUGUCCAGUGUACCAAGACAUUGUCCUUAUCCCCAGUUCUGCAUGUUCCUAAAUUUCCUAUCAGCCUAUUAUCAGUUAGCUCCAUCACUAGUGCUCUCAAGUGUAGAUGUUGGUUUGAUCCUACCUGUUGUGUUUUUCAGGAGCUUGGGACAGGGAGAGUUCUCGGGACUGGGACCAUGCAUGAGGGACUCUACUAUCUUGAUGAAGGGGGAGAUGAAAUUGCUCUUGCAACCUGCAUGUCUCCUACUCAAGAAUUGUUACUUCAUCACCGAAGAUUGGGACACCUCUCUUUUGCUGCCAUGUCAUGUAUUUAUCCCUCUCUCUUUAACUUGUGUUCUAGAGAAUCCCUUGUAUGCGACGCAUGUGAAUUAGCAAAACAUACAAGGGGUACCUAUCCUAGCAGGGGUUUGCGAAGUCAUAAAUCAUUUGAAGUAAUACAUUCUGAUGUUUGGGGCCCCUGUGAGGUUUAUUCUGUUUCUGGACAUCGGUGGUUUGUGACUUCAUUGAUGGAUUUAGUCGUUACACUUGGCUUUACCUUUUGAAGCGUAAAAGUGAUGUGUUCCCUGUUUUCAAAGAUUUGUGUGCUCUCAUUCAAAACCAGUUUGGAACAAUUAUAAAAACCUUACGUUCUGACAACGGUACUGAAUAUGUUAACAUGGAGUUUGGAUAGUUCCUUGCAUCACAUGGCAUUGAACAUCAAACUACAUGCGUCAAUACACCAGAACAGAAUGGUGUUGCAGAACGUAAGAAUAGGCAUUUACUUGAAGUUGCUCAUUCACUCAUGUUCACCAUGAAUGUCCCUAAGUUUCUUUGGGGGAGGCAAUAAAAACAACAACAUAUUUAAUAAAUCGUAUGCCUCUACUCACUCUUGAGUUUAAGACUCCAGCUGCGUGUCUUUUGAACACAAAUGAUUUUGUGGUACCUCCAAAGGUAUUUGGUUGUGUUUCUUUUGUGCAUGAUUAUCGAAAUUCUGUUGGGAAAUUAGAUCCUCAUGGCAUCAAAUGUGUCUUUGUGGGCUAUUCUCCUUCUCAAAAGGGCUAUAGGUGUUGGUGUCCCUCUGAAUGUCGAUUCUUUGUGAGUAUGGAUGUGACCUUUCGUGAACAUGAACCUUAUUAUCUUGGAUCAGCCAAUGACACUGGCAUUGCUCUAUCCCCACCUGAAGUAGGACAAGAGGGGGAGAGCAGUGGUGGAGGCACCCUUAUUGGAUCAAUACUUGUCCCUACUCCAGAUGCUUCUGCUCUUGAUAAUAAUAUUCCUGGACAUGGGGAUGAGAUAAAUCAUGAGGAGAGUAACAAUUCUGGUCAUGGAGACAUGCAAGAUGCAACAGGAGAUUCAUUAUCACCUUCAUAGAAUGUUGAUCACUCAGCACAUGAUGACCCAGGCACCGAUGAUCACUCUCCUAGUCCUAUUGCUCCUACUAGCACCAUGGGUGAGAGUGAUAACCAAUUGUCGACAUCUGUUCCGCGAGGUAAUUUACCCAUUGCCUUGAGAAAACCAACUAGAACCUCAAAUCUUCCUCCACACCUAAAAGACUACGAUGUUGGUUAUAAACACAACAUAGCCAAUUUCAUCACCUACAAACAUUGUAGCCCAUCCUUUCAGAGCUUCAUUACAUCUCUAGAUUCCACAUCCAUACCUACUAACUUCGACAUAGCCAAGGAGGAUCCAAAGUGGAGGGAAGCAAUGCUUGAAGAGAUGCGAGCUUUGGAAAAGAACAAAACCUGGGAGCUUGUGGAUCUACCAUAGGGUAAACAACCUGUAGGUUGCAAGUGGGUUUUCAACAUUAAGCAUACCCCGGAGGGUAAAGUGGAUAGAUAUAAAGCUCGCCUUGUGGCAAAGGGAUAUACCCAAACAUAUGGAAUUGAUUAUGAGGAAACAUUUGCACCUGUAGCAAGAAUUCUGUUAGAACACUCAUAUCAUGUGCAGCAAACUUGAACUGGAACAUUCACCAGAUGGAUGUAAAAAAUGCCUUUCUUCAUGGUGACCUUCAAGAAG
rnacentral:lncRNA from 1 species